GUACCUUUUGUAUAAUGGGUCAGCGACUUAUAUUCUGUAGCAAGGUUAACCGAAUAGGGGAGCCGGAGGGAAACCGAGUCUUAACCGGGCGUUAAGUUGCAGGGUAUAGACCCGAAACCCGGUGAUCUAGCCAUGGGCAGGUUGAAGGUUGGGUAACACUAACUGGAGGACCGAACCGACUAAUGUUGAAAAAUUAGCGGAUGACCUGUGGCUGGGGGUGAAAGGCCAAUCAAACCGGGAGAUAGCUGGUUCUCCCCGAAAGCUAUUUAGGUAGCGCCUCGUGAAUUCAUCUCCGGGGGUAGAGCACUGUUUCGGCUAGGGGGCCAUCCCGGCUUACCAACCCGAUGCAAACUGCGAAUACCGGAGAAUGUUAUCACGGGAGACACACGGCGGGUGCUAACGUCCGUCGUGAAGAGGGAAACAACCCAGACCGCCAGCUAAGGUCCCAAAGUCAUGGUUAAGUGGGAAACGAUGUGGGAAGGCCCAGACAGCCAGGAUGUUGGCUUAGAAGCAGCCAUCAUUUAAAGAAAGCGUAAUAGCUCACUGGUCGAGUCGGCCUGCGCGGAAGAUGUAACGGGGCUAAACCAUGCACCGAAGCUGCGGCAGCGACACUGUGUGUUGUUGGGUAGGGGAGCGUUCUGUAAGCCUGUGAAGGUGUGUCGUGAGGCAUGCUGGAGGUAUCAGAAGUGCGAAUGCUGACAUAAGUAACGAUAAAGCGGGUGAAAAGCCCGCUCGCCGGAAGACCAAGGGUUCCUGUCCAACGUUAAUCGGGGCAGGGUGAGUCGACCCCUAAGGCGAGGCCGAAAGGCGUAGUCGAUGGGAAACGGGUUAAUAUUCCCGUACUUGGUGUUACUGCGAAGGGGGGACGGAGAAGGCUAUGUUGGCCGGGCGACGGUUGUCCCGGUUUAAGCGUGUAGGUGUGUGUUCCAGGUAAAUCCGGUUCACUUUAACACUGAGGCGUGACGACGAGGCACUACGGUGCUGAAGCAACAAAUGCCCUGCUUCCAGGAAAAGCCUCUAAGCAUCAGGUAACAUCAAAUCGUACCCCAAACCGACACAGGUGGUCAGGUAGAGAAUACCAAGGCGCUUGAGAGAACUCGGGUGAAGGAACUAGGCAAAAUGGUGCCGUAACUUCGGGAGAAGGCACGCUGACACGUAGGUGAAGUGAUUUACUCAUGGAGCUGAAGUCAGUCGAAGAUACCAGCUGGCUGCAACUGUUUAUUAAAAACACAGCACUGUGCAAACACGAAAGUGGACGUAUACGGUGUGACGCCUGCCCGGUGCCGGAAGGUUAAUUGAUGGGGUCAGCGCAAGCGAAGCUCCUGAUCGAAGCCCCGGUAAACGGCGGCCGUAACUAUAACGGUCCUAAGGUAGCGAAAUUCCUUGUCGGGUAAGUUCCGACCUGCACGAAUGGCGUAAUGAUGGCCAGGCUGUCUCCACCCGAGACUCAGUGAAAUUGAACUCGCUGUGAAGAUGCAGUGUACCCGCGGCAAGACGGAAAGACCCCGUGAACCUUUACUAUAGCUUGACACUGAACAUUGAGCCUUGAUGUGUAGGAUAGGUGGGAGGCUUUGAAGUGUGGACGCCAGUCUGCAUGGAGCCGACCUUGAAAUACCACCCUUUAAUGUUUGAUGUUCUAACGUGGACCCGUUACCCGGGUUGCGGACAGUGUCUGGUGGGUAGUUUGACUGGGGCGGUCUCCUCCUAAAGAGUAACGGAGGAGCACGAAGGUUGGCUAAUCCUGGUCGGACAUCAGGAGGUUAGUGCAAUGGCAUAAGCCAGCUUGACUGCGAGCGUGACGGCGCGAGCAGGUGCGAAAGCAGGUCAUAGUGAUCCGGUGGUUCUGAAUGGAAGGGCCAUCGCUCAACGGAUAAAAGGUACUCCGGGGAUAACAGGCUGAUACCGCCCAAGAGUUCAUAUCGACGGCGGUGUUUGGCACCUCGAUGUCGGCUCAUCACAUCCUGGGGCUGAAGUAGGUCCCAAGGGUAUGGCUGUUCGCCAUUUAAAGUGGUACGCGAGCUGGGUUUAGAACGUCGUGAGACAGUUCGGUCCCUAUCUGCCGUGGGCGCUGGAGAACUGAGGGGGGCUGCUCCUAGUACGAGAGGACCGGAGUGGACGCAUCACUGGUGUUCGGGUUGUCAUGCCAAUGGCACUGCCCGGUAGCUAAAUGCGGAAGAGAUAAGUGCUGAAAGCAUCUAAGCACGAAACUUGCCCCGAGAUGAGUUCUCCCUGAGACUUAGAGUCUCCUGAAGGAACGUUGAAGACGACGACGUUGAUAGGCCGGGUGUGUAAGCGCAGCGAUGCGUUGAGCUAACCGGUACUAAUGAACCGUGAGGCUUAACCUUACAACGCCGAAG
rnacentral:rRNA from 1 species